rnacentral:tRNA from 1 species
GGGCCAUUAGCUCAGGAGGUAGAGCACCUGACUUUUAAUCAGGGUGUCGGAGGUUCGAGUCCUCCAUGGCUCACCA